GAUGAAGAACGUAGCGAAAUGCGAUAAGUAAUGUGAAUUACAGAAUUCAGUGAAUCAUCGAAUCUUUGAACGCACAUUGCGCCCGCUAGUAUUCUGGCGGGCAUGCCUGUUCGAGCGUCAUUUCAACCAUCAAGCCCCAGGCUUGUGUUGGGGGCCUGCGGCUGCCGCAGCCCCUGAAAAGCAGUGGCGGGCUCGCUGUCAUUCCGAGCGCAGUAGUUACAUCUCGCUCCGGGCGUGGCGGUGGGCACCUGCCGUGAAACACUCCUUCUAAGGUUGACCUCGGAUCAGGUAGGAAUACCCGCUGAACUUAAGCAUAUCAAUAAGCGGAGGA
rnacentral:misc_RNA from 1 species